rnacentral:rRNA from 1 species
AGAGUUUGAUCCUGGCUCAGGACGAACGCUGGCGGCGCGCCUAACACAUGCAAGUCGAACGAGCGAGAGAGAGCUUGCUUUCUCGAGCGAGUGGCGAACGGGUGAGUAACGCGUGAGGAAUCUGCCUCAAAGAGGGGGACAACAGUUGGAAACGACUGCUAAUACCGCAUAAGCCCACGGCUCGGCAUCGAGCAGAGGGAAAAGGAGCAAUCCGCUUUGAGAUGGCCCCGCGUCCGAUUAGCUAGUUGGUGAGGUAAUGGCCCACCAAGGCGACGAUCGGUAGCCGGACUGAGAGGUUGAACGGCCACAUUGGGACUGAGACACGGCCCAGACUCCUACGGGAGGCAGCAGUGGGGAAUAUUGCACAAUGGGGGAAACCCUGAUGCAGCGACGCCGCGUGGAGGAAGAAGGUCUUCGGAUUGUAAACUCCUGUUGUUGAGGAAGAUAAUGACGGUACUCAACAAGGAAGUGACGGCUAACUACGUGCCAGCAGCCGCGGUAAAACGUAGGUCACAAGCGUUGUCCGGAAUUACUGGGUGUAAAGGGAGCGCAGGUGGGAAGACAAGUUGGAAGUGAAAUCUAUGGGCUCAACCCAUAAACUGCUUUCAAAACUGUUUUUCUUGAGUAGUGCAGAGGUAGGCGGAAUUCCCGGUGUAGCGGUGGAAUGCGUAGAUAUCGGGAGGAACACCAGUGGCGAAGGCGGCCUACUGGGCACCAACUGACGCUGAGGCUCGAAAGUGUGGGUACAAACAGGAUUAGAUACACUGGUAGUCCACACCGUAAACGAUGAUUACUAGGUGUUGGAGGAUUGACCCCUUCAGUGCCGCAGUUAACACAAUAAGUAAUCCACCUGGGGAGUACGACCGCAAGGUUGAAACUCAAAGGAAUUGACGGGGGCCCGCACAAGCAGUGGAGUAUGUGGUUUAAUUCGACGCAACGCGAAGAACCUUACCAAGUCUUGACAUCCCUUGACGAUGCUGGAAACAGUAUUUCUCUUCGGAGCAAGGAGACAGGUGGUGCAUGGUUGUCGUCAGCUCGUGUCGUGAGAUGUUGGGUUAAGUCCCGCAACGAGCGCAACCCUUACUGUCAGUUACUACGCAAGAGGACUCUGGCAGGACUGCCGUUGACAAAACGGAGGAAGGUGGGGAUGACGUCAAAUCAUCAUGCCCUUUAUGACUUGGGCUACACACGUACUACAAUGGCGUUAAACAAAGAGAAGCAAGACCGCGAGGUGGAGCAAAACUCAGAAACAACGUCCCAGUUCGGAAUGCAGGCUGCAACUCGCCUGCACGAAGUCGGAAUUGCUAGUAAUCGUGGAUCAGCAUGCCACGGUGAAUACGUUCGCCGGGACACUUGUACACAGCCGCCACGUNCAAGGGGCGGAAUUUCGAUUUAAACCAAUGUCAGGANNCGGGUCCCCAUUUCAGUGAGCGCUAAUUCUGAGCUGCUAUCUGG